rnacentral:misc_RNA from 1 species
GAAAUGCGAUAAGUAGUGUGAAUUGCAGAAUUCAGUGAAUCAUCGAAUCUUUGAACGCACAUUGCGCCCUUUGGUAUUCCUUAGGGCAUGCCUGUUCGAGCGUCAUCUAAACCUUCAAGCCCUGCUUGGUGUUGGGUGCCUGUCCCGCCUCCGCGCGCGGACUCACCUCAAAUCCAUUGGCGGCCCCCGCGUCGGCCACGAGCGCAGCAGAAACGCGAACUCGUGAGCCCUUCCGGGCGGCUCCCAGAAGCUACACCCACCCAGUUUGACCUCGGAUCAGGUAGGGAUACCCGCUGAACUUAAGC